rnacentral:rRNA from 1 species
CCGCACCUCAAGUGGUCAGGAUGAUUAUUGGGCCUAAAGCAUCCGUAGCCGGCUCUGUAAGUUUUCGGUUAAAUCUGUACGCUCAACGUACAGGCUGCCGGGAAUACUGCAGAGCUAGGGAGUGGGAGAGGUAGACGGUACUCGGUAGGAAGGGGUAAAAUCCUUUGAUCUAUUGAUGACCACCUGUGGCGAAGGCGGUCUACCAGAACACGUCCGACGGUGAGGGAUGAAAGCUGGGGGAGCAAACCGGAUUAGAUACCCGAGUAGUCC